rnacentral:rRNA from 1 species
AACCGCGGUUAUACGAGAGACUCAAAUUGAUAAUUCACGGCGUAAAGGGUGACUAAAUAGUAAAAUUUAACUAAGGCCGAAUAUCUCCUGUACUGUCAUACGUUAACAGAGACAAGAAGCCCCACAACGAAAGUGGCCUUAAAUAUAUUGAACUCACGAGUAUUAAGAAA